GCUUACGGCCACACCUCCCUGAGCAACGCCCGAUCUCGUCUGAUCUCGGCGCUGAGCAGGGUCGGGCCGGUAGUACUUGGAUGGGAGACCGCCUGGGAAUACCAGGUGCUGUAAGCC
rnacentral:rRNA from 1 species